AGUGAACGCUGGCGGUAGGCCUAACACAUGCAAGUCGAACGGCAGCACAGUAAGAGCUUGCUCUUACGGGUGGCGAGUGGCGGACGGGUGAGGAAUACAUCGGAAUCUACUUUUUCGUGGGGGAUAACGUAGGGAAACUUACGCUAAUACCGCAUACGACCUUCGGGUGAAAGCAGGGGAUCUUCGGACCUUGCGCGAUUGAAUGAGCCGAUGUCGGAUUAGCUAGUUGGCGGGGUAAAGGCCCACCAAGGCGACGAUCCGUAGCUGGUCUGAGAGGAUGAUCAGCCACACCGGAACUGAGACACGGUCCAGACUCCUACGGGAGGCAGCAGUGGGGAAUAUUGGACAAUGGGCGCAAGCCUGAUCCAGCCAUACCGCGUGGGUGAAGAAGGCCUUCGGGCUGUAAAGCCCUUUUGUUGGGAAAGAAAAGCAGCAGGUUAAUACCCCGCUGUUCUGACGGUACCCAAAGAAUAAGCACCGGCUAACUUCGUG
rnacentral:rRNA from 1 species